ensembl:snRNA U2 U2 spliceosomal RNA
GGAGCUUCUCGGCCUUUUGGCUAAGAUCAAGGGUAGUAUCUGUUCUUAUCAGUUGAUACGUCCUCUAUACGAGGACUACAUAUUAAAUUGAUUUUUAGAACAGGGAGAUGAAAGAGGGCCUUGCUCCAUCCGCUCCACGCGUCGACCUGGUAUUGCAGUACCUCCGGGAAUGCUGAUUUGGGGCAGUCGUG